rnacentral:rRNA from 1 species
UACGUAGGGGGCAAGCGUUGUCCGGAUUUACUGGGCGUAAAGAGCGUGUAGGCGGCCAAACCGGUCCGUUGUGAAAACUGGAGGCUCAACCUCCAGACGUCGACGGAAACCGUGUGGCUAGAGUCCGGAAGAGGAGAGUGGAAUUCCUGGUGUAGCGGUGAAAUGCGCAGAUAUCGGGAAGAACACCCGUGGCGAAAGCGGCUCUCUGGGACGGUACUGACGCUGAGACGCGAAAGCGUGGGGAGCGAACAGG